AGUGACUGGCCUAGCUUCCCAGGCUACAUCUUUCUACUGCGCUGUGCUGGAUGCUUCCUGUCCUUGAACAUCAGACUCUAAGUUCUUCAGUUCUGGGACUUGGACUGGCUCUCCUCACUCCUCAGCUUGCAGACAGUCUAUUGUGGGACCUUGUGAUCUUGGUUCAAGUUAUCAAGGAGAAGAGCGAACAUCACUCAAAGACCUUUCCUCUUCUUCCAGCAAGAAGGCCCUUACCAGAUGCCAGCACCUUGAAAUUGGUCUUUCUAGCCUCCAGAUCUGUCAUUCAUGCAUCUGUGAUCAGCUGCCAGACUGGGUGGAGGCUGGUUCAUCUGAAAUGACUUCAGCUAGGAUGACCUGACUCUGCUUUUUUACAUUUAAGUAUCUUCUGAGGCUUAUUCACACGACAGUAAUAGAGAUCCAAAAGCAAAAUGGGAAAUAUGCAAAAUCUUUCAAGGGCUAGGCACAAAAUUAGUCUGUUAUUUCUACCACAUUUUACUAAUCAAUGCAAGUUAUAAGGUCAGACAAGAUUUAAGGGGUGAAGAAAGAGUGGCAAAGUUGCUAUACAAAGAGGAGUGGAUAUAGGAAGAGAUAAAGAAUUAUGGUUAUUUUUGCAAUCUCAUGCAAAUAGCAUUUUUGCAAUAUAAGUUUAGUUUCAUGGCUUUAUUGAGAAAAGCUUAAAUCAAAAACUGCAGAAUCUUUUUGUGUGUGUUUUUUAUUCCCCUGGCACAUUCUAGCAUAUACUUACAAAUACCAAUUCCUGGCAUGGAUGCAGAUCAACUGCUAAUGAGAAUGCGAAAUAAUACGGCCACUUUGGAAAACAGUUUGAUAAUUUCUUAUAAAAAGUUAAUUAUACACUU
rnacentral:lncRNA from 1 species